UACUAUAUAUAGACUAUAGAUUCAACCUAUUUUAAUACCAUUUACAAUAAUUCGAGACUAAUCCAAAAAAAUUAGUUGAAAACUAUUAUUCGGAUUUUUUAAUUUUAUAUAAAUAUUUAAAAUCUAUUUAAUACAUAAUUGAUAUGAGGUUAAAUAUAUGUUUGCAUGGGUUUUCAAAAAAAAUAUAAACAAAUUGAUGAAUUAGAGGUAUGGAUCGUGAUGUCAACUUUGAUGCCUUCUUCUUUAUUCUUCUCUCUCCCUUCUCUGCAUCCUCGUCUUUAUUCCUCUCUCUUUUGUCAUUUGUUCUGCUCUUCCAAUUGUCAUGGCUCCCAAGAUAUUCUUUUUAUCUUUCUAAUUUAUAUUUUUUUAUAUUUUGUGAUUAAACAUAGAGUGGGUACUCGACACCAUCGCUCGGCAACGACAACCUGAGGAGAAAGAUGAAGACGGGCUGCUGCAGAUUCCCCAUGGUAGUGAUGGAGGUGGGGGCAUAUGAUGCAAAGGAGUCGGCAAUGAAAGGAUGGACAGAAAUUUUUAGCGAGAGAAUGACAGAGGGAAGGGCAUACAAAGUAGAUCUCUUCUCAAAAGUAGUGAGAUAUUAUGCUCAUUUAUGGAUGGCAGUUAAUGAUAAGGAGAGAGAUAAUAUCGGAUCACUCAAUGAAGAUUUGUAUGAAACGCUGGCAAACUGAGGAGGAGGAAAAGUUUCUCUUCAGAAUAUCUUUUAAUCUUUGUUUAUUAUUUAUUAAACAGGAAUCCAUAUCUCCUGCGAUAUAUUUUGUCUCAUAUGCAUAAUUCAUAGAAUGAUGUGUCCCUUGCGUGGAAGUAAAGCAGAUGGAUUCAAGAAAUUCUUUCACGGCGUUUCCUAUCAAUAAAUUAUGCAUGAUUAGUUCCCUGACAGCUACGUCUCAACGAAUCAUAUUUUUCAAAUAUUUAAUUUUAACUAGGGUCGGAUCUUAUGAGAAGAUGACGACAGGGG
rnacentral:lncRNA from 1 species